rnacentral:rRNA from 1 species
AUUGAACGCUGGCGGCAGGCCUAACACAUGCAAGUCGAACGAGUGGCGGACGGGUGAGUAAGGACUGGGAAACUGCCUGAUGGAGGGGGAUAACUACUGGACACGGUAGCUAAUACCGCAUACCAUCGGAUGUGCCCAGAUGGGAUUAGCUAGUCGGUGGGGUAACGGCUCACCUAGGCGACGAUCCCUAGCUGGUCUGAGAGGAUGAUCAGCCACACUGGAACUGAGACACGGUCCAGACUCCGACGUGAGGCAGCAGUGGGGAAUAUUGCACAAUGGGCGCAAGCCUGAUGCAGCCAUGCCGCGUGUAUGAAGAAGGCCUUCGGGUUGUAAAGUACGUUCAGCGGGGAGGCGUUACCCGCAGAAGAAGCACAGGCUAACUCCGUGCCAGCAGCCGCGGUAAUUC